AUGCAAAUUGAUAGGAAAUUAUCUGCCAUCGUCUGAAGCAAUCGCUGUAUCGAUGCUUAUUUCUUGUUUACUUGAAGAUGAAGCUGUGCCAGAAAGGCCUGUUCCUUGUUUACUUGAACAAGAAGCUGUGCCAAAAAGGCCUCUCUCUUGUUCACUUGAAGCAAAAGCUGUGCCAGAAAGGCCUCUUCGUAUAAAAAAGGCUGGGUUCUUAGGAACCGGCAAGUCUGCAGUUUCACUGCUAAGCAUCACAACAACAUUCGACAUGGUCGGACGGUCGGAUGGAUCAUCUUGUACGCAUAAGAGUGCAGCAUUUACACACCUCAGAAACUCAUUGGUGUUGCAAAUCUCACGUAAUGUCUCGUCCAUUAAAUCCAAUGCCUUGUCUUCUCUCCAUAAUCUCCAAGCCUGGAAUUUUGAAGUUUAAGUCAGCAUCGCUUAUCAAAUGAUAAAACAUUAUAUUAGCACCGUUGAACUUACAUAAGCUAGAAGGCUUUGGGCUUCAUCAGAAUUAAAAUAUCCCGUGUUCCUUUUCCCGCUAAGAAUCUCAAGUACAACGACGCCGAAACUAAAAACAUCAGAUUUGACAGAGAAUAGGCCAUCUAAUGCGUACUCUGGCGACAUGUAGCCACUGCAUUACAACAAUUUUCACUAGAAUCAGUAACUCAGCUGGAUUCAGACACCUAAUUCAGCAUUAACCAUGACAUGAUUGUAGGAUUGGAGGCUGCAAAAAGAGAGUGUUUGCAUAUGAAUGUAUGUCUGAUGAAUAUCAAUGUUGAUAGGAUCUGAAACUUACUAGGUUCCAACAACUCUGUUUGUGCUCCCUUCGGUUUGUUUGCCUUCGAACAUCCUUGCCAAUCCAAAGUCAGAAAUUUUUGGAUUCAUUUCCGCAUCUAAUAAAAUGUUGCUCGUUUUCAUAUCACGAUGAAUAAUCCUGAGUCUAGAAUCUUGGUGGAGGUAAAGAAGACCUCUAGCAACUCCUAAAAUGAUAUCAAAGCGCGUCUCCCAAUUCAGUAACAUUCCCAGAUCUCGAUCUUCAGAGGUUUUCCAUUUCCAUGAGAACAAAAAUUAGCAACCAUGGGUGCUGCAAACGUACAUUUAUAAAACAAAAAUGAUGAAUCUGUUUAGAGACUAACCAAAUAUGAAGGAAUCUAAGCUUUUGUUAGGCAUAUAUUCAUAGAGUAAGAUCUUUUCAUCUCCUUUUAUGCAGUAACCUACUAGUCUGACAAGAUUCCGAUGCUGCAAUCUAGCAAUCAAAAUCACCUCAUUCUUAAACUCCUCUAGGCCUUGUCCUGAAACACUAGAGAGUCGUUUUAUUGCGAUUUCUUGACCUCCUGGAAAUUUUCCCUGAAACCAAAGUUGCCAUGCAGGUAAAAUUCAGCCAGAAAACUUGUCAGACACAAAAAUUCCAAUGAUUAACGUAAAUAUUACUUUGUAAACAGGUCCGAAGCCCCCUCUUCCAAGCUUGUUUGCUUCUGAAAAAUAAUCCGUAGCUGCUAGUAUGCUGUCUAAAUCAAAGAAAGGUACAUCUAUGCCCUUCUUAUCUUCUUCGUUGAACUCUUCUGCAUCCAUCAAGUUCUUGACCCGUUUCUCAGUGCCAUACAAAACAGCUGCAUUUCUUUCAGUAUUUUGCUGGCUUUCUGAAAUUUCAAGAAGACAACUGCUAAUUACUUGAGGAAUCCCUUAAAAAGUUCAAUACCACCUUACACGUGGAAAAUUUGUCUAGUUACCUCGUCGUUUGGCCUUCUUUCUCAUCAAAAUGCAGAUGUAAAGGAAGAUGCUUGAUAGAACUAUGACAGUAGCAAUUGCAACUCCUACAAUCAAAGACAAUGGUUUCUUUCCUCCUGCUUGUCCAUCGAAAACUUCAAGAAAGAAAGGGGGUAUGCGCAUUAUAAUAAAUUAAACUGGAUGAAACUUAUGGUUUUCACUACUUUUGCAGUUUGAGGCAAGAUAUAGAGUGCUCACCAUGAACGCAAUUUAGAGCAUUGCCAUCCCACCAAAAAUUUGAAUUGCAGAGGCAUCUCGCUGUGCCAUUUCCUUUUUUAUUGCAAGUUGAAUUUGACCAAUCGUCGCAGUCUGAAGACGAAGAGCAGACUGGCUCUUGAGGUGGCUCCCAACCAAUAACUAUUUCUACCAGACCUUGAGAUGAAACAUUGGAAUCACACCAGCGUUUAGAGGCGUUCAUCUUAAAUGGAAAUGACGUGUUGAACUUCCGAAUUUGACCUCUUGUACUGGCAUUACAAUCAUCUACAUCUUUCUCUUGGAUAACAAAUGUUCUUGUAUCUUGAUUGAUGGUAGUGACAUUAUAGGUGCUGUUGUGUGUCUUAAAGCUGAGUUUUCCUGUGGACUUAUCGCAGUAGAAACUGGAGUACAUGGGGUCACCACAAUCUGAUCCAUUACUUAGAGGAUAAGGAAUCACAUUUAUGCCACAAGGCUCACAACUUUUAGCCUUUGAUUCUGCAAAACAUGGAGCUUUUUUUAAGGUAUGAACAGUACUGAUAUUUAGUUCAGUUAUGAAUUAAGUCCACUGCUUGUGUGCAAUCUUCUAUCGAGAAAUUUCCUUGACGUAAUUACAGCAUCUUGUAGUAACAAAAGGAGAAAGAACAAGUCGAAAGAAGGAAGUACCUAUGUCAGCAAUAGGGACACGACAAAGAGAUCCAGCCCAUCAUAAGAAUAUUCCUCCUGGAGAUCUUUAAGAUCAUCCAUCCAGAUCGAGCAGUGUUGUUGCCAGGUUGUCUGUCCCUUCGCUAUUGACUUCCCUUCACAAAGGAAUAAGCUGGGCAUUGGCACUUAUCGAGACACUCCUCUCUGCAUUUCUUUUCAUCCUCAACCACAAAUGAAGUGUAUGCUGUCCAACUCUCAUCAUCUUCAAGCUCAAGAAGGUGUCAUUCUUCCCACAUCCGGCAGCGCUUCUGAUGCAACCACCAGAGAAACUCCCAUUCCUCCAAUUUUCCUGUGAUAGGCUCAAAUCCUGGCAAACCUGCAAGCCAACUAUUGUAUAGAUUGCAGCUGCCGAAGUUCCCACAGGCAUUAAGCACACUGCAUUUGUCUCUCGGCUCAAACCAUUGCAAAGACCAAUUUGUAUACACAUCGAAGUUCCAGUAUUGUAGCUCCCCUUUAACAUCCAACCUAAUCCUUGUUAUUAUAAUCUGAGGGUGAUCGAGUUGUGCUGCUUUUUGGAACAGAUCUGGUGAAGUUCGAUAGAAAAAUAUGCUAUUCCAUCAGGCAUUCUUUCUGAGCUAAAGAAAUCACUUGACUUCCACUACUGCCAUCGGAGAUAGCAAACUGGUCCGUUUCUUCAUCUAGCUGAAAUGUGAAGUUACCUUCUUGUGGAUCAACUUCACUUUUCCAUGACGUCAAAUUUAGAUCCCCACUCAUCUUCAUACCUGGAAGAAAUGUAUCAGUUGGAUGGUCAAAGCUUUGCCAUAGAAUAGUUGCCAAAAGGGUAUUACUAUCACACAAAACCAAGUUCCCAGAAUCUAAGAGCUUAGCCAACCCAUUCGCUGGUUUUGAUGUUGAUUCAAGCCCUGUAGACCAAAAAGGAUCUCCGUUUUUAUCCAAAAUCUUGAGGUUUCCAUCAUCUGUGACAGCCAAAACUGCUCCAUCAUCAAGAAGUGGGCGGUCUCGAUUGGCAACCCACACAACUAUUCGUGGAUUCGACCUGUAAUACCAAAUUCCUACGUAGCUUUUGUUUCGUUCAGGAGUAAAGAACCCCAGUUCAAACCUUUUUCCUGCUGAAACAAGAGUUUCUCCACCAUGUUAUAAAUUACCUGCUUAAGUGUGAUGGUAUCUCUAGCAAAGCAACAUAAAAGGGAGGAGCAUAAUAAGAAUGCAUAAGAAAAGAAAACGGUUGAUAGCAUGCUAUGCAUUGCACAUAGAUCUCUCUGGUUAAGACCUCUUCUUACCAUCAACCAUGAAUGUAUCACUCAAGUCAACUGCAAAGCAAAUUUUCACUGCACUUGUUCUGUGUUGACGCUGACCAUAAAGGAAGGGAGAUGAUGCUUUACUAAACUUAGAUUAAUUUAGAAUAGUUAAUCAUUUGAACACCACAACAUUUUCCUAGUCAUCGACAAAAAAUUAAUACAUUGUAACGUUGUAGUGUUUAUUUUGUAAAAUAUUUUUUAUUUAAAAAUAUAUUAAAAUAAUAUUUUUAUUAUUUUUAAAAAUUAUUUUUGAUAUUAAAAAUUAAUUUUAAAUAAAAAAAUUAUAAUUUAAUGAGAAACACAAUUUAAAACAAUUUUGUUAUCUCCGAUAGAGUUGCCGUAGUGGGGUGGUAAUGAAGAUAGCAACAGUGAUGAUAACAAUGUAUGUAGUGAUGAUGAUAAGAUUUUGAUGGUUAAGAUUAUUUGAUGAUUUUGUGUGUAAAUUAUUAUUUAAAAAAGUUUAAAAAAUAUUUUAUUUUGUUAAAUAUUUUUUUGAAAACAAAUUCCUUCUUAAACUACCCAUAAAUAAUUAAAUUGCUUGCUGCAGGCGUGUUCUUUUCUUUUACAAGUCUUGGCUCUCCUUUCCCACGCAAUUUUCUGUGGCAACAAGGGCCCGUCAAGGCAUUUUUCAACUAUAUGCAUUCAUGCUUUCAUGUCCACUCGUUCUGUAAGUAUAUCCCUCAUUUUGACAAAACCCACUAUUUCCAUCCUAUAUUUUUACCAACUUGUCAAAAGAGUCCCUCCAUUAUUAAUUUGGUCAAUUGAGCAUAUGUUUUUUCAAUUUCAGUCAAUUGAGUAAAAUUUUCCGAAAUUAAAGAUUUAUCUCUAUCAAUUGAGAAUUCUUCUUCACAACCUUAGUCAUUCUCAAGAACUUUUUUGUCAUUCUUGAAAUAUCAUCAUUCAUCUCAUCCUUCCUAUUGAGUAAAAGUUUUUUUUUCAAUUUAGAUCACUAAUACUCAAUUGAUUGAAAUGAAAAUUAUAGAUACUCAAUUAACCAAAUUGAUAGCAUGGGAGAUUUUUUUUUCUUAAUUGAUAAUGGAUUUAGCACUUUAGAUUGAUCGUUGUUAGUCAUCAAAAUUGACAAUAACCUUAUUACACUCGAUCUGGGAUUGACCUGAUGAAGGAAUGGAGUUGCAGGUUACAUGGGUCAACUCAAACAAAUUAAAAAAAAUUAAAAUUUUAAUAUUUUAUAUAUAUAAAAAAACAAUUCAUAUGAAUAUACACUAUAUAUGCUGUAAAUAAUAAAGUUUAAAAGAAUAUAUCAAAAAGUUUUUUAUCCCACAUUUUAAAAAAAAACAUAAUUUUUUUUUUGUGAACAUAAAAUAGAUAUAUUAAAGGGCUUCAAAUCUCACAUUGAAAAAAUAAUUUUUUUUCUUUGGAACAUAGAGUAUUAUACAAAAUACUAAAAGGGGUCAGUGCAUCUGUUACUGUGGAUUGAAGCAGUGUAAUGACAGACCAACCCUUGUCACAAAGAGUUGCAAGGGCAGCGGGGAGGGGUGGGGUUGUCUUUCUGCUGGGAUGCAUUUGGCAUUGAAAUGAUGGCUAGGAAGAAAAUGGUUAGCUCAAGUUUUGGUGUGGCUACAGGCCCUGGGAUGCGAACACCUGACGCUUGGGUUGCCCUACCUGUACGCUGGGUCAAACCCGCACGCCCACGUGGCGCUGAGGCUGGCUUGCCCUGUGUUCAAGGCUAAUGGGUCCUGCAUCAGAACCCAAUUUUCUUGGGUUCUUUGUCAGGACCCAAGCCUAUUGGGUCUUAGGUUUCUAAAUAUAAUUAUUUUCGUUAUAAAUAUUAUAAUUUUUAUUAUAGUUGAAAGUAUUAAUAUCAAACAUAUUAUAAUUUGUGUUCUAAAUAUUAUUAGUUUAAUUAUAAUAAAAAUAAUAAUAUUUAUACCCCAAAUAAUAGUAUUGUUGAUAUGAAUACUUUGAAUUAUACUAAAAAUCAUAAUAUUCAUAACACAAAUAAUACUAUUUUUAAUAUUAAUACUUUCAAUUAUAAUAAUAAAAAAUUUUGUAUAGCAAAUAAUAAUAUUUAUACCACAAACAAUACUAUUUUUAGAAUUAAUACGUUCAAUGAUAAUACAAAUACAAAUCUUUGUACCACAAAUAAUAAUAUUUUUUAUAUUAAUACUUUGAACUACAAUAAAAAUAAAUAUUAAUACUUUUAAUUAUAAUAAAAAUAAUAAUAUUUAUACCAAAAUAAUAAUAUUUAUACCAAAAUAAUAAUAUUUAUACCACAAAUAAUACUAUUUUGAAUAUUAAUACUUUCAAUGAUAUAAAAAUAAUAAUCUUUAUACCACAAAUAAUAAUAUUUUUGAUAUUCAUGCUUUGAACUAUAAUAGAAAUAUUAAUAUUUAUAACAUAGAUAAUAGUAUUUUUAAUAUUAAUACCUUCAAUUAUAAUAAAAAUAAUAAUAUUUAUGGCACAAAUAAUAAUAAUAAUAAUAAUAAUAAUUUUUAAUUUUAUCCUUCAAAUCAACUUUAUGAUUUUUUUUUGUGGUUAUUAUUAUUAUAUUAUAUAUAAAGCUAAAUCAUGUGGGAAAAGUCAUGUUUAUCAAGACUCAUUGCACUGUGAAUUGCACAUUUGGUAGGGGCAUGGUGUGUUGCAGCCCCAGACAUAGACACUUGGCGCAAGGGCAUUCAUACCUAGCCACAAAGAUUUCCAAAGAUGCAGAGGGAGAGGUUGCGCUUCAAGUUUCGGACACCUGGCGCUGGGGGCAAACCCGUGAGCUUGGCUUUCCACCCAUGUAAAACCUCUGGGUGAAAAAUUAUAAAUUGACUAGUUUCAUGUAAAACAAAAGAAAAAAUUUGUAACUCUCGAUCGGGUUAUUGGAAAAUUCUGAAAAUUUGCGUGGAGCCUUCUGAUAUGAUAUCUUAGCUUGGGUUAAAAUUUUAGAAGUUUUAGAGAAAUUCAGAAAAUUUGACAAAAAAUCACAAUUUGACUAGUUUUACGUUAUUUGAUGUAAUAUAUUUGUUUUAUAUGUAAUUUGUAUUAUACGUAGAUUGUAGUGUAUGUAUAAUGAAGAUGUUUGCUUUUGGUAUUUAUAUAUUUAAAAAGUAUGAGUAAGGAACUACUAUUAUUAAACUAUUCGAAAAUAAUAUUUUAAGUUUAUAAUUGUUUGUAGUUAAUGUUUUAUUUGUAGAUGAUGUAAGGUUGAGAAAAAUACAAUGAAGUAUAGUUAUGUGGAAUAUUGUAUGACAAGAUGGGAUUUGAUCCAGGAUGGUUGGAUCAAAGUGAAAGUUUUGAGUAUUGUAAUUGAAUGAAGUAUAGUCGAUAACUUGGUAACAUGAGAAAACAAAGGACACUCCGUUGAAAUUUUCAAAAAAAAAAAAAAUCUUAUAAUCUUAGACAUAUUAUUCAAUACUCGAUAUUAGUAAAGAAAUGUUUAAGAUUUCAUGAAAUAAUAAUUUGAGGGUGUUACAACCCAAGUCAGCGGUUCUGCUAACCUGUGUGUUGGGUCUGGACAUGGACCCCCUUCUGUUGGGUCAAGCAUCUUGACCUAAAUCACUUGGGUUUGGACAUGGAUCCAACCCCCUUAGAUCCAAACAUGACCCAAUCCCCAACCCUCUACGGUCUGGACGUGGAAGGACCCAAACUCCUUGGGUCCGGACCUAGUAGAACCUAAACCCCAACCUCUUGGGUCCGAACACGGCCCCAUCCCCAACCCCUUUGGGUCUGGACAAGGACCCAUCCCCCAACCUCCUUCAGUCCCCACCCCACUUAACCCCCAACCCCUCUGGGUCCGGACACGGACCCAACCCCCAACCCCCAUGGGGUCUGGACAUAGAAGGACUCAAACCCCAAACCCCUAGGUUCGAACAUCGAAGGAUCCAAACCCCAACCCCCUAGGUCCGGACACAGCCCAAUUCCCAACUCUUUGGUUCCGGCUACGAACCCAAACCCUAAGUCCUUUGGGUCUGGACAUAGACCCAUCCCCUAACCCCUUUGGGUCCUCACCCCGCCAAACCCCCAACCCCCUUGGGUCUGAACACGACCCAAUCCCCAACUCUCUUAGGUCCGGUCACGAACCCAACCUCCUUCAGUCCUCACACCCCGCCUAACCCUUAUUCCCCAACCCCUUUGAGUUCGAGCACGAACCUAACUCCUCUUGAAUUCGGACAUGGAAGGAUCUAAAUCCCUUGGGUUCGGACACCAAAGAACCCAAACCCCAACCCCAUGAGUCCGGACACGGACCGAACCCCCUUGGUAUUGUUCCACCAAUAUAACAACGUUAUCUUUUUACAAUUUAUAAAGACAAUAACAUGCACAUUUUUUGUUGUGCAGAAUUUCAAGGCAUAAGCCAACAUGUAUGUUGAUAUAGCUGCCGAAAAAGCUACAUCUUAUUACUUAUUUUUGUAUUAAAAAACAUUUAAAAGCUCUUGUUCAUUUCCAUCUGUUUAAUCAUAAAGCUUUUGUAUUAAUGUUUUUAUUGUUUGGUUUGUUGGUGUACUACAACAACAUAUAUUACUACUUUAUAUAUUGUGUCUUCUAGCUAUGUCAAACCUUGCAUCAUGCAGUAAAAAUAUUAAAUCUUAUUUUGGAAUUAACAAAAUCUAUUACAUGCUUCAAUCUUAGAAUAUGUUUUUUUUUUCACGUCUAUUUUUAACCGUUUGGUUAGGGGCUUUUAUUUUUUCCUUUAAAAAAAAUAAACAAGGUGCUAAGACUUUGUUACUAUUAGAAAAAAAAAACAUGAAUUUGAUUGUAACCAUAAAAUUAAAAACUAUAAAAACUUAGAAAAUAAAUAAAUUUGAACCCAUGCUAUUUUAAACACAAAUAUUUUUAUAAUACCAUUUUAAAAAAUAUAUUAUUUUUUGUCUUUUAAAAUAUUUAUAACAUAAAUAAUAUUAUUUUUAAUAUUAAUACCUUCAAUUAUAAUAAUAAUAAUACUUUUAAUUUUAUCCUUCAAAUCAACUAUAUGAUUUUUCUUUGGUUAUAAUAAUAUUUUAUUUCAAAUUUAUUAAUGACAAUAAUGAUAAUAAGAACAACAAUUUAUACUUUUACCCUUCAAAUAGAUAUUGCGUCAGGAUCCAAUGUUAAUAAGCCUUUGUUAGUAUCCAAUUCGCUUGGAUUCUGCACCAGGAUCCAAUGGUAAUGGGUCCUGCACAUCCAAUGUUAAUAAGCCUUUGUUAGUAUCCAAUUCGCUUGGAUUCUGCACCAGGAUCCAAUGGUAAUGGGUCCUGCACAGGACCCAAGAAUGGAUCCUCGCCAGGAUCCAGAUAAUUUGUGUUAUAAAUAUUCUUUGUUUUUUUUAAUAUAAUAAUUUGUGAUAUAAAUAUUAUUAUUUGUCUUAUAAUUCAAAGUGUUCAUAUCAAAAAUAUUAUUAUUUAUGUUAUAAAUAUUAUUAUUUUUAUUAUAACUCAAAGUAUUGAUAUAAAAAAUAUUAUAUGUCCAUUCCAUCUUUUCUAAUUGGUCCAUGCACAUACAGAUACAGUAGGAAGUUGUUUUAAUGUUUUAAAAAAGUAAAUAAAUUGGGUUUUAACUUAAUCACCUAGGUUUUAUCUAAUUAAUUCCCACAUUAUUUUUUUAAACCUAACCUGCGCUGAGCCGAGUUUAACAACAUUAUCACUAACUAGUUGUAAGCAAAUGGAGGAGUGAUUAUUAAGAAUAUGCCUGGCAAGCAAAUUUGCUAAGGCACUUGUUCAUACAGUCAUUUUCAUCUGAGUAGCCAGGUUCAGCAUCAGGCUUUCCUGCUUUCAUCGAUUUUAACUCCAAGAAGUUCUGAACCACAUCGUUGCAGCACAAAGGUGACAUUCUUUCACACCCCUCUGAAAAGUUUCCUAAUUUCCAAUUAUCGGGAGACUUAGACUAUUGCAACUACCAGAAGUCCCACAAGCAUCAAAUACACUGCAUCGAUCACUUGGUUCCCGCCAGUUCAAAGUCCAAUUCGCGUUUCUCCAGAGGAAAAACUGUAUCUGCCCAUUGAACACCAGUCUUGUAUUCUUAUAAUUCACAGCUGUUGAAUUUAUUCUAUUAUAAGGACUUUCCUCUGUAGUUGUUGUGUUCCCAAGAGGUCUGCUUGGUUUCCUGCUGGAAUUCAUGAGCAAGUUAGAAACAAGCCAGAGCCUUUCGUCGGAUCUUACAAAACUUCCUGAAACUCCACUUUUCCAGUACGGAAUCGAUCCGUUCUUCAUGAUGAUGUACUGGUUUUCUCUUUCAUCAAGCUGAAAUUUGAAGUCUCCUGGUGCUGGGUCACUGGGACUCUUCCAAGAAGUCAACAUAAAGUUCUUGUUUGUCUUCAUUCCAGGAAGAAAUGUGUCAGUUGGAUAAUCGAAGCUUUGCCACAAUAUUGCUGAACCAUUUGCAGCUUCUUGGAUCAAGACUAAAUUCCCGGAAUCCAUGAGCUUCAACCUCCGAGUGAAAGAAAAUGAAGAUGAUGUAGUUUCGUUUGUUUUUAUUCUUAUCAAAAAUAAUAAUCUAUGUCCGUUGAAAAGUCAUUUUCUGAAAACAUUUUUAUUAUUAGAAAAGUUUAUUAAUAAAAUAUUUAGUUUAGUUUCCAGAAAAGUAUAUAUUAUUUUUAUUUGAGGUGAAACAUAUUUUUAGAAGUUACAAAAUAUUCAAAAAUAUCUUAUUAUCUAUUUAUUAUAUUAAAUUUAAUAAUCAAUUUAGCACUUUUAAAUUUAAUUUUAUUUUUAUAUAAACUUUGGUCUUAUAUUUUUAUUGUUAUUUGUUUUUCUUUUAUUUUUCAAAUUAUUUUCUAUAACACUACUAAACAUCAGAAAAACUUAUAUUUUCUAGAAAAUCACUUUUUUUUAAAAAAACUAUUUUCUAACAAACAAACUAAUAUGAUUUUUCUAGUAAAAUAACAAGUUCCAAUUCUACUUCAAUGAUAAUCUGGUGAGAUGGAAAAUUAGAAGAUCUUUAAAAUAGAAAAGAGAAAGAGCUCAUCUUGAAAUGCCUAAAUAGCUGUAUAUUUGUGUUGUUUAUGAUGUGAUAAUGCUCCAUCACAAAAAAAAAAAAAAAAACAAACAAACAAAAACAAAACUAAAAAAAUAUCUAGUUGAAUUAUUGCAAAAUUUACUUAGCAAUUAUAAGAGCCCAACAAUGAUAAUGAUGUUCAGGAGACUUUUUUACUAUUAUAAGUCCUCAAUAUCAUAUUUUCAUAUUCUGUAUUUUUUCAAUUUGUACUCAGAUUAGUACGCCCUAGAUUUAUGGAAUUGUAGGCAGGAUCAUUUUUUUUUUUUUGUCAAAAUAUUAUAUUGAGAUGUCAUAUGCGUGUUCUAAGGAAGAAAAAAAAAUCAUCCAUCAUCAGAGAAUGUUACUGCCCAACCUUGUAUUACCAGCACCAUUGUUACAUAGCUAACUGACUAGUUCUUGCUACCCUUUCAGGGGUCCAAGCAACAGCAGAGAGCUAAUUUAUCACAAAUAAGUAUACUUCUAACUAAUCAACGCGUUUUUAGCUAAUUUUAUCACUUCAUGUUUGUUCCUUUUCACUAGAAUAUUCUCCUGGUGGUGUUUUCCAAUUAGACAGGGACGUUACCAGUUGCCUGAACAGCAAGUUUCAUGAUGCACAGUGUCAAUGUCAGGUCUGAACUAAUGGCUGAAAUGCAAAUGGACUAAUGUUAGUACAAGAAGAUAUCUAGCCGAGAACGUUAAUGCUAGAAACUGGAGGCACCACAGAAACCACCUAGUUCUAUUAGGUUUUGGCGUGUCUGAGGAAAAGAGGGAUACAAUUCAGUAAUCUGAAAAGCAAAGAUUACCAGAUGAAGUCAUGGUCUUCUAUUUUUGUCUAUUUCACCUUUUAUUAUUGGCCCAUGAAACUGGUAUGUAGUUUCGUUUGUUUUUAUUCUUAUCAGAAAUAAUAAUCUAGGUUCGUUUAAUGAAAAUUUAUUUUCUGAAAAUUAUUUUCUAAAUUUUUUCAUGUUUCUUAUUAGAAAAGUUUAUUAAUAAAAAUUAAUUUUUCAUUAAUAAAAAAUUUAGUUUGGUUUUUAGAAAGUAUUUUAGUUUUAUUUUAGGUGGAAUACACUUUUUAGAAGUUACAAAAUAUUCAAAAAUAUCCUAUUAUCUAUUUAUUAUAUCAAAUUUGAUCAUCAAUUUAGCUCUUUAAAAUUUAAUUUGAUUUUUAUUUCAACUUUGACCUUAUUCUUCUUAUUGUUAUUUGUUUGUUUUUUAUCCAUUAGAUUUGAUCCUUGUUUUUUUUCUUUCUAUUUAUUUUAUUUGAAAUAAUCUUUUUCAUUUUUUUUUUAAUUUCAUCAUUUAUCAAUUUUUUAUUUGUCAUAUUUAGUUUCUAUUAUUUUAAUUGUUAUUUAUUUUAUUUAAAACAAUUUAUAAAAUUUGAAUAUUUUUUCAAUUUCAUCAUCUUUCAACCUUUUCAUUUGUUAAAUUUAGUUUCUAUUCUUUCAGUAAACUUGAAAAAAAUUAAACAUUAAUAAAUUAUUUUUCCUUUUAUUUUUCAUAGUAUAGUCAAACACUAGAAAGUGUUUUCCAACUUAUUUUCUAUAUUUGGUUAGAUGGAAAAAUAGAAGAUCUUUAAAAUGGAAAAGAGAAAGAGCUCAUCUUAAAAUGCCUAAAUAGAUGUAUAUUUGUGUUGUUUAUGAUGUGAUAAUAUUCUCCAUCACAAAAAAAAGUUGUGGCAUCCAAAAAACACUAAAAAAAUAUCUUGUAUAAAACAAGAGCCCAACAAUGAUAAUGAUGUUCAGGAGACUUUUUAACUAUAAAAAAUAAGUUAGAGGAUAACUAGUAAUUUUUUAUUGAAUGGUGAAAUAAAAAAAAAUCAAUAUAAGAAAAAAAUCAAAAAAAUAAGGAUCAAGUUGAAAAAAAUAAAAUAUCACAAAUUUGGAUUCAGUAGUGAAAUUAAAAACAAAUUAAAAUUUUACAAAAUGGCCAAGAACAUAAAUUAAAAAUCAAAACAAUAAAAAUCAAAGUUAAAAUUUCAAUAAACAAGAAGGCAAUUCUGAAAUUUUAAAUGGCUAGUUUGAAUUUCGAGUGGAAAAGAAAAGAAAACAUCAUCGGCAAUAAAUCAUCCCACCCCUGCUAUGAAACACCAUAAAUUUCCCUCUACAUUGUAAGAUCUUCGUAUCAAGGCGAUAAAAAAAACUACCAAGUCAAAUACUAAAUUAAGCAAAUUUGAAUGGAUCAAAUUGAAAAAAAUAAAAAUAAAUUGAGGGAUACAAGAAAAGGGAUGAACCUUCCCUUCUCCAUACAUUUUGUCCUUAAUUUUUAGGUUGUUCAAAUUUGGUCUCCAUUUCUGUAAACCAAGUGUCAAAUGAGCAAUGAUUUUUUUUUAUUCACACCGUGAGAUCCCCUAGCCAAGGUAGACAAAGUAUAUCACAAAGUUUGCUCCCAAAAAUAAUAAAAUUGAAAAACAAAUUAAAGAAAAAAAAAACUAAAGGACUAAGAGAAAAAAAAUUAAAGGACUAAGAAAAAAAAAACUCUAUUACAAUUCAUAGUGUUUUCUCUAUAAAAUUGAAAUAAUAUUAUUUUAUCCUUAAACAUGACUAUUACAAUGACACGAAUGCAUGUCACUUUGAUAUUAUUUACCCCGCAACUUGAGUCAAAAUCCAUUUCUUGCUGCUUUGCCUUGUCUUCAAGGGAAGUACUGACGGUGAGAGGAUAAGUCAUUUGUGUGUGUGAGCCUUGAGGAUAAGUCAUUUGCCUUGUCUCCAAGGAAAGUACUGCUAACAAUUAAGCUUGUGUGCCUCAGCAUUACACAAAUUCAUUUGAAAACUGUCCCCAUAAUCAACUGCCAUGAUUAAGGAGAAAUCUGGGUUUUUUGCCAAAUGCAUGAUCCACAUAGUGCCGAAUAGCAUCAUAUAGUAUGAAUGAAUAAAGAAAACAACACAGGAAAUGUCCAACAAACUGACUCAACAUUCACAAUGCCAAACAAAAGGCCACGGAAUUGAAUUAAAUUUGCACUCCUACAAGUUAGAAAAUUCACGAUGCCAAGAGGAGGUAAGUGAUCUCGUGAACCUAAUAUCUCCGAGUGGAGUUAUUACAAGAACAGUCUCCUGUCCUCAAAUUAAGAUAUUCGUUAAGAAUUAUUGAUUUCACAUGGCCGGUUACAAAGAUACUGCUAAAUAUCACUAAAAAUAUAUAUGUUUUUAGAAAUUUAUUUUUCAUGAUAACUACUUCUCAAGAAAAAAAUAUUUUCUAGAAACAAACAAGAUUUGCCUAGUAAAAUAACAAGUUCCAAUUCUACUUCAAUGAUAUAUUUGGUGAGGAAAAUUAGAAGAUCUUUGAAAUGAAAAAAGAGAAAGAGCUCAUCUUAAAAUGCCUAAAUACCUGUAUAUUUGUGUUGUUUAUGAUGUGAUAAUGAUAUUCUCCAUCACAAACAAAACCAAAAAAACUAAAAAAAUAUCUAGUUGGAUUAUUGCAAAAUUUACUUAGCAAUUAUAAGAGCCCGACAAUGAUAAUGACGUUCAGGAGAUUUUUUUACUAUAUAAAGAGAUUUUUUUUUAGUUUGAGACAUAUUUUUAUCUUCUGUAUUUUUUUAAUUUGUACUUAAAUUAGUACACACUAGAUUUAUGGAAUUGUAUGCAGUAUCGAUUCUUUUUUUUUUUGUAAAAAUAUGAUAUUGAGGUGUCAUAAACGUGUUCUAAAGAAGAAGAAAAAAUCCACAAUUAGGUCAAAUAAAUUACUUUUUUAUUUUAAUUAUAUGAUAAAAAAUAAUAAUAAACAGUGACACCAAAUAAACUAAAUAAACAAAUUGAUUAUGAUAACUUGAAAAAAAUAACUAUAUUUUUUUAAAUAAUAUAAUUCAAUUCUCAGUCCAAUAAAAUAUAGAAUAAUAAAAUUGAAUUAAAAAUGUAAAAAUAAACCAACCCGAGUCACCUUGAGUUAGCAUAAUCAAUUGAAUUACCAAAAAAAACUAUUAAGUCAAAUACUAAAUUAAGCAAAUUGGAAUAGAUUAAAUUAAAAAAAUAAAUAAAUUAUGGGAUAAAAGAAAAGGGAUGAACCAUACAUUUUAGUCCCUAAUUUUUAGAUUGUUUAAAUUGGUCUCCAUAGCUUUAAUUGCUUUCAAUCAAUAAAACUUUAUUUAAUUUCGGUAAACCAAGCGUCAUCUAAGCAAUGAUUUUCUUUAUUAAUACCCUGAGAUCCCCUAGCCAAGACAGACAAAUAUACCACAAAGUUUAAUCCCAAAAAUAAUAAAAUUAAAAAAAGAAUUAAAGAACCAAAAAAAAAACUGAAGGACUAAGAAAAAAACUCUGUUACAAUUCGUAGUGUUUUCACUAUAGGUGAACAUGACUUUUGCCGGUAAGCCCACCAAGCCCCUGUUCAAAAAACUACAGAGCAUCUCCUUAAUCAUGUCUGGAUCAGACAUGGCCAACAACCUGGGCUCGACUCCCAACCGGUGGAGAAAUGUCUUCCUGCUCUUCCUUGACCAUUGAUAGACGUUGGCUUCGACAAAUUGAUAUUAGGCUGAUAUCCUUGGACCUUCCGAAGAUUGGAUUGUAGGCAAGGCCAGUAUCUGUGCCUUUUUUUAAAUGGUUUUGGAUUCUCCAUGGAACCCUUAAAACUGAGUGUAGGAAUUUCAAAAUGCAGAGUCUAAGGAAGAUCACAAAGAGAAGAAAAAAACAAGGUGAAAGAAGGAUCGUGCAGUGGGCUUGAUUUGUCAGAAGAGAUUGUUUUUACCAUGAUUUAAGUAAUGUGCAGCUGCAAUGAUUGGUGAAUUAUGAGGGGUGGUUGAAAAUUAUAUGAUGCUUUGUCUCCUUAAAGAGAUAUUGGGGAUUAUCUGGUGAUAAACUGUUGUAACCCAUUUUUGGGUCCCCAUAUAAAAAAUAAUAAAAUACAAAAAAAUCAAAAAAAUAUAUUAUAAAAAAAAUAUAACAGUGAAAAAAAUGUCAGAGCGCCCUAAAAAUGCUCAAAAAUUGAUAGAGGAUGCUCAAAAAUAUAAAAAAUAUUUUUGACAGGAUAUCAUUGACUGAUGAGAGCCCCGAUGAUAAAGAAAAUUCAAUUUGUAGAAGAAAAAUGCAAAAUCAGAAGUUUAUGGACUCAAUUAAAUUUUAUUAAAGGUUUAAUUGCAUUUAUGAAGAUUUUAAUUGCAAGAAAAAUUGAUUUUGGAGUUAAUUUGGGCUUUAAUUAGGAGAAAUUAAUUUUCUAGGGUCAAAUUAUAAUUUUUGGAAGUUAAUUUGGUCAAAUUAGGGGCUUAAUUGCAUAAAUAUUGAAGUUUAAUGGCUAAUUAGGGACUUAAUUGAAGAAAUCCGAGACCAAGGACUAAAUUGUAAAACGCGCGCAAAUGUUAGGGCCGAAAUUUGAAUCUGAUGCUUUUGGCGCCUUUUCCUUUUAAAUGAAACGGCGCGUUUUGACCAAAACGACGCCGUUUCAUUCACUGUUGCAAAAAAAAAAAAUACAGAAGCCCAAAACGGUGUCGUUUUGACGGCACUGUAGCUCUUCUUCUUCCCCUGGACACCCGAGGCAGGGGAAGAAGAAGAUUUAUUCUUCCCCUUUUCGCCUAAUUUCUUUCCUUUUUUUGCUCAAAAAGACGCCGAAACAAGGACACCACUUGCCGACCACUUUCCACGUGUUGGACGGGCGGCAGCACACCGGCCACCACCAUGACGUCCCCCCCCCCAUGUUUUUCGCCUAUAAAAACAGGGGAGGAAGAGGAAAAAAAAAAAAAAGACAGAAGGGAGACGAACUGAGAUAGAAGAGAAGAGAAUAGAGAGGGCAGAGAAGAAGAAGAAGAAGAAGAAGAAGCAGGGAAGAAAAGAAGAAAAACAGAAGAAGAGAGAGAACCACCGCCAGCCUCCGCCACCAUCGCCUCCGUGCCUACGCCGCCAGCAGCACCGCCACGACGCACCGCAGGUAAUCUCUCGCCGCCCUGUCGCCUUCUCCUUUGCUGCCUCCCCGUUUGCAUGCAGAACGUGAAUUAAUUCACGUUCUGCAGCUGAAGAGUGGUUACUGUGCUUAGCACAGUAACCAGCCCAUUUGGUAAUGGGCCGGGUUGGCCCAGCCCACUGAAUGGGCCGGACCCGGCCCAUUUCAUUUUUUUUUUUAAUUUUUUACAAUUUUUCCAGCACUUGUUUUUAUCAAUUUUUGCUUAAUAUCGGUCUGUAUUUUACAUCGUAAAAAUAUAAAUUCGGUAUUAAAAUACCCGGUUUUCGUCCCACAGUACUGUUCACACAUGCAUAAAAAAAAAUCAAAAAUAUUUGUUUCAGCAUUUUAUAAUUUUUCCGUAGUUUUUAUGUCAUUUUGAUUAAUAUCGGGCAGUAUUUUUAUAAAAAAUCCGGUAUUAAAAUACCCGGUUUUUCGGCAAAAACUUCCAAAAAUAAAAAAAAAAAUUAAAAAAAAAGAAAAAAAAUGUUUUUGUGCAUACGGCCAAGUGUCUCAAAUCUAAAAAAUCAUAUCGUAUUUUUCAUAUGUCAAAAAAAAUAUUUUAGCAUGCAUUUUGGCUUUAAUAACCAGUUUAUUAAAGUCAAGAGAACAUUGGCCAAAAUCUCAAAAACAACAAAAAAUUUUAUUUUGUUUGAUUUUAGUAUCAGGGAUUAUGAAUUUAUACGUAAAUCGUAUUCCUGAUAUUAAAAAGAUAUUUUCUUUUGACGACUUCGAAUAGUUAGUUUUUUUUACCCGAUAAAGAUAAGGAUCUCCUUACAGAGGAGGACUUUUCUUAAACCGUAAACGAACCAACAAUUCAAAAAAACCACAACACGAUUUUAGAUUUUAUCAGACAUUAAAACAAUGCAGCCUACCUUAGGUAGGGCGUAGUUGGGGUGCUAAUACCUUCCCUUUACGCAACCAGUCUCCGUACCCGAUCUCUAAAGACCAGUUAAGGUUCCUAGUAACCAGAAUAUUAGGUGGCGACUCCCAUUCCAAUUUUUUUCACUUGUAGAGACAAGAAUUCCUUGUCUCUCCCCAUUUGUCAGGAAUAAAUAUUCCGAUUUUUCCUUGAGGGUGGACGAUCGCCGCGCCGCCGCACACGUGCGACAAAAACCAUGGGCACCCUGUAUGGAUUAUGAUGCUCAAAAAGGGUUAAUGUCGCCUAAGAAGAAAUACUACUGUGUGGAAUCUGAUCAAGCGACUUGACACAGCCGUUGAAAGUUUUCAAAGUUUGCUAAGACUCUAAAUUUAAACGAACUGAUAAUAACACGUAGAACACUUGAAAGAAAAAUUGUUUACGGGGCAUUACACAGAUACAAUAAUGAAGUUCUAAGAGGGUUUUGAUUACAAUUUCAGAACAGAAGGACUAAUUAGACAUGAAUUCUGUCAUGGAAAAACAUGAGAUUUCACCAGGAAAAAAAAACCUUUCCAUUCGAAGAUUGAGAAACUUUCCAAGAUUUUAUGCAAAUUGAUAGGAAAUUAUCUACCUUCGUCUGAAGCAAUCGUUGUAUCGAUGCUUAUUUCUUGUUUACUUGAAGAUGAAUCUGUGCCAGAAAGGCCUGUUCCUUGUUUACUUGAACAAGAAGCUGCGCCAGAAAGGCCUCUUCGUAUAAAAAAGGCUGGGUUCUUAGGAACCGGCAAGUUUGCAGUUUCACUGCUAAGCAUCACAACAACAUUGGACAUGGUCGGACGGUCGGAUGGAUCAUCUUGUACGCAUAAGAGUGCAACAUUUACACACCUCAGAAACUCAUUGGUGUUGCAAAUCUCACGUAAUGUCUCGUCCAUUAAAUCCAAUGCCUUGUCUUCUCUCCAUAAUCUCCAAGCCUGGAAUUUUGAAGUUUAAGUCAGCAUCGCUUAUCAAAUGACAAAACAUUAUAUUAGCACGGUUGAACUUACAUAAGCUAGAAGGCUUUGGGCUUCAUCAGAAUUAAAAUAUCCUGUGUUCCUUUUCCCACUAAGAAUCUCAAGUACAACUACGCCGAAACUAAAAACAUCAGAUUUGACAGAAAAUAGGCCAUCUAAUGCGUACUCUGGCGACAUGUAGCCACUGCAUUACAACAAUUUUCACAAGAAUCAGUAACUCGGCUGGAUUCAGACUCCUAAUUCAGCAUUAAACAAUACAUGAUUGAAGGAUUGGAGACUGCAAAAAUAGUGUUUGCAUAUGAAUGUAUGUCUGAUGAAUAUCAAUGUUGAUAGGAUCUGAAACUUACUAAGUUCCAACAACACUGUUUGUGCUCCCCUCGGUUUGUUUGCCUUCGAACAUCCUUGCCAAUCCAAAGUCAGAAAUUUUGGGAUUCAUUUCCGCAUCUAAUAAAAUGUUGCUCGUUUUCAUAUCACGAUGAAUAAUCCUGAGUCUAGAAUCUUGGUGGAGAUAAAGAAGACCUCUAGCAACUCCUAAAAUGAUAUCAAAGCGCGUCUCCCAAUUCAGUAACAUUCCCAGAUCUCGAUCUUCAGCGGUUUUCCAUUUCCAUAAGUACAAAAAUUAGCAACCAUGAUUGCUGCAAACGUACAUUUAUAAACCAAAAAUGAUGAAUCUGUUUAGAGACUAACCAAAUAUGAAGGAAUCUAAGCUUUUGUUAGGCAUAUAUUCAUAGAGUAAAAUCUUUUCAUCUCCUUUUAUGCAAUAGCCUACUAGUCUGACAAGAUUCCGAUGCUGCAAUCUAGCAAUCAAAAUCACCUCAUUCUUAAACUCCUCUAGGCCUUGUCCUGAAACACUAGAGAGUCGUUUUAUUGCAAUUUCUUGACCUCCUGGAAAUUUUCCCUGAAACCAAAGUUGCGAUGCAGGUAAAAUUCAGCCAGAAAACUUGUCAGACACAAAAAUUCCAAUGAUUAACGUAAAUAUUACUUUGUAAACAGGUCCGAAGCCCCCUCUUCCAAGCUUGUUUGCUUCCGAAAAAUAAUCCGUAGCAGCUAGUAUGCUGUCUAAAUCAAAGAAAGGUACAUCUAUGCCCUUCUUAUCUUCUUCGUUGAACUCUUCUGCAUCUAUCAAGUUCUUGACCCGUUUCUCAGUGCCAUACAAAACAGCUGCAUUUCUUUCAGUAUUUUGCUGGCUUUCUGAAAUUUCAACAAGACAACUGCUAAUUACAUGAGGAAUCCUUAAAAACUUCAAUACCUACACGUUGAAAAUUUGUCUAGUUACCUCGUCGUUUGGCCUUCUUUCUCAUCAAAAUGCAGAUGUAAAGGAAGAUGCUUGAUAGAACUAUGACACUAGCAAUUGUAACUCCUACAAUCAAAGACAAUGGUUUCUUUUUUCUCGAAGAUCCUCCUGCUUGUCUAUCGAAAAUUUCAAGAAAGAAAGGGUUUAUGCACAUUAUAAUAAAUUAAACUGGAUGAAACUUAUGGUUUUCACUACUUUUGCAGUUUGAGGCAAGAUAUAGAGUGCUCACCAUGAACGCAUUUUAGAGCAUUGUUAUCCCACCAAAAAUUUGAAUUGCAGAGGCAUCUCGCUGUACCAUUUCCUUUUAGAUUGUUGCAAGUUGAAUUUGGCCAAUCGUCGCAGUCUGAAGAUGAAGAGCAGACUGGCUCUUGAGGUGGCUCCCAACCAAUAUCUAUUUCUACCAGACCUUGAGAUGAAACGUUGGAAAUAAAAUUUCCUGCCACGGUAUCACACCAGCGUUUAGAGGCGUUCAUCUUAAAUGGAAAUGACGUGUUGAACUUCCGAAUUUGACCUCUUGUACUGGCAUUACAAUCAUCUACAUCUUUGUGAUGUUUAGUAUUAAAAAGAUUUGGAAAAUACAAUAAAGCCCUUGGAGGCUUAAAAGAGGGUAUAAAUGAUUGAAGGGUAGUGUGGUAAUUGACCAAUAGUUGAUAAAUAUAUAUAAGAAAAAAAAAAAAAAGGAUCUGAAUUUGGAGAGAGAACCGGCAGGAGAGAAGAGAGGAAGAAGAAGAAGAGAAAAGAGGGGAAAAAGGAAAAGGUUGAAGAAAACAAGUAAAAGGGUAAGAUUAUGCUUGAAUGUAUAAUAUGUUUUCUUUAGCUUUAAAUUUCGGUUUUUGAUUAAUUUUAGAGUUUUGAAUUUUGAGUUUAUUGAUGAAUUAGUUUGAAUUAGAGGUUGAUUGAUGUGGGUAUUUGAUUAUUAGUUGAAUUGGAGAGAUUGUAAGAAAAUGAUGAUUUUGAGUUAUGGUUGAAUUGAAUGAUGAAGUUGAGGUAUAAAUCUGGAACUAACAGUAGGUGAUCUGUUGAAAUUCUGGGUUUGAGGUUGAAGAUGACGAAAAUUCAGUUUGGUCCCUCAAUUUGUGAAAUUGCAGUUUAGUCCCCGAACUUUGGAAAUUUUACAGAUUGGUCCCUGGGGCAUAAAUUGAGGUUCUGAACAGAACUGAGGAUGAUUUAAGGACAAAAUUCCAGUAUAAUUAAUAUUUUCAGUUUGGUCCUCCAAUUUGACAAAAAGUAUAAUUUGACCCUAAAAAUUUGGUAAAGUUCCAGAAUGGUCCUUGGAGCAUAAUGAUAUAUCCUGGACAGAAUUGAGGAUUAAUUAUGGAUAAAUUUCAGUAUGGUUAUAUAUUUACAAUUCGGUCCUCAAAUUUUGGUAAAAUUACGUUUUGGUCCCUGUUUUGGAAAAUUAUCGUUUUAGUCCCUAAACUUGGGAGAUUAAGCCCGGUUUUAUUUUAUGCAUUGGGAUCUUUUGUUUGAUUGUUUUUGAGUAUAUUUCAUAUAUUUAUUGUAGGUUCUCCUAACGAUCCUUAAUCGGAUUUUCGGGUCUUUUGUCUGACAUUCCUUUAGUUCAGUAUUUUCCGGGUGAGUGGAAUAAUCUUUAAUAUGCAUAUAAUAUAAAUAAAUAUGUAUGUUGAUUAUACAAUGAGUACAACUAGUAAAUUUCUUGAAUAUUUAUAUAUGUUGCUUUAUUUUCCGAGUACUCAUUUAUUCUUGAAUUUGCACUCGCAAUCUGAUAAAGUAAAUUCUAUUUGAUAGAUAUGAUAUACGUUUUUGAUGAUGUGAAUAUCUAUUAUGCCUUGAUAUGGGACUUGUCAGUAACUCCAUGCUAACGGAGAAUAGUUAGCCUGUGUGCACAUAGUAUUCUGUUACCUAGCUGGUGAGAGAGGCAUCAGCCUGUGGCGAUUAAUCAUCCCACAGUGGUCACCGACGGGUGUCAUCUGGUCACCGACGGGUGUCAUCUGGUCACCUUCGGGUGUCAUCUGGGUCACCUUCGGGUGUCAUCUGAUCUCUGACAUGUAAUCCACUACGUUAUGAUAAUAUGUUUAGUAAGUAUAUGUAUAUGUAUAUUAAGAUAAAUCAUCUUACAAAUUAUUAAUAUCUUAAAUAUCUUAAAUGUAUAUUAAAUGUUAUUCCCUCACUGAGUUGGUUGAACUCACCUCUCAUUUUUAAUAUUAUUUCAGGUUCUUAAUUUCUGAGACUUUGUUGAGUGUUUCCGCUUCUUCAGUUCUGGUCGGUAUGCCUUGCUUGUUCGCGAGGCUUUCCUUUCAGUUUUGAUUUGAUGUCUUAGACGCUCCACUGUUACCUUGUUUUAAUUAAGUUUGGAUUUUGGCAAUGUAAAUAGUAUUAUGAAUUAUUAUUUUUGUUUUAAUAACUAUCUUUCGGUUUCAUUAGUAUUUGAAUAAUAUAAUAUUUCUGAAUAUUAUGAGCCGCUGCGUAUUUUUGAACAAAUUGUUCUUUUGAUAUGUCCGUUCUGAGGCUUAGCGUAGGUGAGGUGUCCUUUCGACACCGCUCCUACGUUGCCGGUCACGGAUCCGGGAUUCGGGUCGUGACAAUCUUUCUCUUGGAUAACAAAUGUUCUUGUAUCUUGAUUGAUGGUAGUGACAUUAUAGGUGCCGCUGGGUGUCUUAAAGCUGAGUUUUCCUAUGGAAUUAUUGCAGUAGAAACUGUAGUACGCGGGGUCACCACAAUCUGAUCCAGUGCUUAGAGGAUAAGGAAUCACAUUUGUGCCACAAGGCUCACAACUUUUAUCCUUUGAUUCUGCAAAACAUGGAGCUUUUUUUAAGGUAUGCAAAACUACUGAUAUUUAGUUCAGUUAUGAAUUAAGUCCACUGCUUGUCUGCAAUCUUCUAUCAGAGAAAAUUAUCCUUGACGUAAUUCUAGCAUCUUGUAGUAACAAAAGGAGAAAGAACAAGUCGAAAGAAGAAAGUACCUAUAUCAGAAAUGGCGACUCGGACAAAGAGAUCGGGUCCACCAUAAGAAUAUUCCUCCUGGAGAUCUUUAAGAUCAUCAUACAUCCAGAUCAAGCAAGUGCGAGGUUGUCUGUCCCUUCGCCUAUUGACUUUCACCUCAACGAAGGAAUAAGCUUGGCAUGAGCAGUUACUGAGACACUCCUCUCUGCAUUGUUUUUCAUCCUCGACCUCAAAUGUUUUGACUGGUUGCCCAAAUUUCAUCGUCUUGAAGCUCAAGAAGGUGUUCUUCUUCACACAUGGGUCAGAGCUUCUGAUACAACCACUGGAGAAAUCGUCAUUUUUCCAAUUUUCCAGUGACUUAGGCUCAAAUCCUGGCAAACAUCUGCAAGCCACUUUAUUGUAUAGAUUGCAGCUGCCAAAGUUCCCACAGGCAUUAUACACACUGCAUUUGUCUUUCGGCUCCCACCAUAGCUUAGACCUAGUUGUGUUAUAGCUCAAGUAUUGUAGCUCCCCUUUAACGUCCAACCUAAUCCUUGUAUUACUAAAAUCUGAGAGUGAUAUAUUUAUUCCGUUGAGUAUUGAAGUUGGAUUAGAAACAGAAAUGGAUUCAAAACCUUUGGUGAAGUUCGAUAGAAAAUAUUCUAUAACAUCAGGCAUUCUUUCUGGUCUAAAGAAAUCACUUGACUCCCCACUAGUCCAGUGCUUUAUACUGCCAUCGGAGAUAACAAACUGGCCCCUUUCUUCAUCUAGCUGAAAUGUGAAGUUACCUUCUUGUGGAUCAACUUCACUUUUCCAUGAAGUCAAUUUUAGAUCCCCAAUCAUCUUCAUACCUGAAAGAAAUGUAUCAGUUGGAUGGUCAAAGCUUUGCCAUAGAAUAGUUGUCGAAAGGGUAUUACUAUCACACAAAACCAAGUUCCCAGAAUCUAAGAGCUUAGCCAACCCAUUCGCUGGUUUUGAUGUUGAUUCAAGCCCUGUAGACCAAAAAGAAUCUCCAUUUUUUUUCAAAAUCUUGAGAUUUCCAUCAUCUGUGACAGCCAAAACUGCUCCAUCAUCAAGAAGUGGGCUGUUUCGAUUGGCAACCCACACAACUAUUCGUGGUUUCGACCCGUAAUACCAAAUUCCUACGUAGCUUUUGUUUUGUUCAGUAGUAAAGAACCCCAGUUCAAACCAUUUUCGUGCUGAAACAAGAGUUUCUCCACCAUCAUGACUAAUCAAAUUACCAGCAUAUGUGAUCGUAUCUCCAGCAAAGCAACAUAAAAGGGAGGAGCAUAAUAAGAACGCAUAAGAAAAGAAAACGGUUGAUAGCAUGCUAUGCAUUGCACAUAGAUCCCUCUGGUUAAGACCUCUUCUUACCAUCAACCUUGAAUGUAUCACUCAAGUCAACUGCAAAGCAAAUUUUCACUGCACGUGUUCUGUGUUGACGCUGACCAUAAAGGAAGGGAGAUGAUGCUUUACUAAACUUAGAUUAAUUUAGAAUAGUUAAUCAUUUGAACACCACAACAUUUUCCUAGUCAUCGACAAAAAAUUAAUACAUUGUAACGUUGUAGUGUUUAUUUUGUAAAAUAUUUUUUAUUUAAAAAUAUAUUAAAAUAAUAUUUUUAUUAUUUUUAAAAAAUUAUUUUUGAUAUUAAAAAUUAAUUUUAAAUAAAAAAAUUAUAAUUUAAUGAGAAACACAAUUUAAAACAAUUUUAUCUAGCUUAUAUUUUCUUUAAUGGUGGUACUCUAGUGAUAGAGUUGCCGUAGUGGGGUGGUAAUGAAAAUAGCAACAGUGAUGAUAAUAUUGCAUGUAGUGAUGAUGAUAAGAUUUUGAUGGUUAAGAUUGAUGAAUGAUUUUGUGUAUAAAUUAUUAUUUAAAAAAGUUUAAAAAAUAUUUUAUUUAAAACAAAUUCCUUCUUAAACUACCCAUAAAUAAUUAAAUUGCUUGCUGCAGGAGUGGUUUUUUUUUUUUUAUUAUUAUUAUUAAUGUGUAUAUUUGAGUUAGUUUACGUGGAUUUUAAUUAAUUUUAUAAAUUUUAAAAUUAAAAACUAUAUAAAUUUUUCAAACUAAUAAUUUUUAAAAAUUAAACUUAAAAUAUAACAAGUUAAUUUAUAUAUUUCGAAAUAUGCAGGCUUGUUCUUUUCUUUUACAAGUAUUGGCUCUCCUUUCCCACGCCAUUUUCUGUGGCAACAAGGGCGCGUCAAGGCAUUUUUCAAACUUUAUGCAUUCAUGCUUUCAAGGCUGAUUCAGGUUUAAUAAGUAUGCUUUGAAUGCGAUUCUACUUAUAUUCCCAUGCAGGACGCGAAUUUAUUGUAGUCCUUUAAUUUAGAAAAUUAUGAGAUCAGGGUCGUCCACUCAUAUAUGUCCAUUUGCAGCUUCUUGGAUCAAGACUAAGUUCCCGGAAUCCAUGAGCUUCAACCUCCGAGUGAAAGAAAAUGAAGAUGAUGUUUCUUUCACAGAAAAUGUUUGAAUUCUCGUUCUUUCUUUCACAUCCAUCAUCAGAGAAUGUUACUGCCCAACCUUGUAUUACCAGCAGCAUUGUUACAUAGCUAACUGACUAGUUCUUUCUACCCCUUUCAGGGGACCAAGCAAGAGCAGAGAGCUAAUUUACCACAAAUAAGUCUACUUCUAACUAAUCAACGCGUUUUUAGCUCAUUUUAUCACUUUAUGUUUGUUCCUUUUGACUAGAAUAUUCUCCUGGUGGUGUUUUCCAAUUAGACAGAGACGUUACCAGUUGCCUGAACAGCAAGUUUCAUGAUGCACAGUGUCAAUGUCAGGUCUGAACUAAUGACUGAAAUGCAAAUGGAGUAAUGUUAGUACAAGCAGAUAAAUCGCCGAGAACGUUAAUGAUAGAAACUGGAGGCACCACAGAAACCACCUAGUUCGAUUAGGUUUUGGCGUGUCUGAGGAAAAGAAGGAUACAAUUCAGUAAUCUGAAAAGCAAAGAUUACCAGAUGAAGUCAUGGUCUUCUAUUUUUGUCUAUUUCACCUUUUAUUAUUGGCCCAUGAAACUGGCAAGUAGUUUCGUUUGUUUUUAUUCUUAUCAGAGAUAAUAAUCUAGGUUCGUUUAAUGAAAAGUUAUUUUCUAAAUUUUUUCAUGUUUAUUAUUGGACAAGUUUAUUAAUAAAAAAUAAUUUUUAAUAAAUAAAAAAUUUAGUUUGGUUUUUAGAAAGUAUUUUAGUUUUAUUUUAGGUGGAAUACACUUUUUAAAAGAUACAAAAUAUUCAAAAAUAUCCUAUUAUCUAUCUAUUAUAUUAAAUUUGAUCAUCAAUUUAGCUCUUUGAAAUUUAAUUUGAUUUUUAUAUCAAUUUUAGCCUUAUUCUUUUUAUUGUUAUUUGUUUUUUUUUAAUUGAAAUUUUUUUUAUCCAUUAGAUUUGAUCCUUGUUCUUUUGAUUUCUAUUUAUUUUAUUUGAAAUAAUCUUUGUCAUUAAUUUUUUUAAUUUCAUCAUUUAUCAACUUUUUAUUUGUCAUAUUUAGUUUCAUUAUUUUAAUUGUUAUUUCUUUUAUUUAAAAUAAUUUAUAAAAUUUAAAUAUUUUUUUCAAUUUCAUCAUCUUUCAACCUUUUCAUCUGUUAAAUUUAGUCUCUAUUAUUUUAGUAAACUUGAUAAAAAUUAAACAUUAAUAAAUUAUUUUUCCUUUCAUUUUUUACGGUAUAGUCAAACACUAAAAGUGUUUUCCAACUCAUUUUCUAUAAUAUUGCUAAAUAUCACAAAAAAAUAUAUAUUUUAAAAAAUUUAUUUUUCAUGAAAACUACUUGUCAAGAAAAAAAUAUUUUCUAGGAAACAAACAAGAUUUGCUCAGUAAAAUAACAAGUUCCAAUUCUACUUCAAUGAUAUAUUUGGUAAUUAGAAGAUCUUUAAAAUGGAAAAGAGAAAGAGCUCAUCUUAAAAUGCCUAAAUAGCUGUAUAUUUGUGUUGUUUAUGAUGUGAUAAUGAUAUUCUCCAUCAUAAACAAAAGUUGUGGCAUCCAAAAAAAACUAAAAAAAUAUCUUGUAUAAAACAAAUUAUUGCAAAAUUUACUUGGCAAUUAUAAGAGCCUAACAAUGAUAAUGAUGUUCAAGAGACUUUUUAACUAUAAAAAAUAAGUUAGAGGAUAACUAGUAAUUUUUUAUUGAAUGGUGAAAUCAAAAAAAAAAAAAUCAAUAUAACAAUAAGAUAUAAGAAAAAAUAAAAAAAAAUAAGGAUCAAGUUGAAAAAAAUAAAAUAUCACAAAUUUGGAUUCAGUAAUGAAAUUAAAAACAAAAUAAAAUUUUACAAAAUGGCCAAGAACAUAAAUUAAAAAUCAAAACAAUAAAAAUCAAAGUUAAAAUUUCAAUUAACAAGAGGGCAAUUCUGAAAUUUUGAAUGGCUAGUUUGAAUUUCGAGUGGAAAAGAAAAGAAAACAUCAUCGGCAAUAAAUCAUCUCACCCCUGCUAUGAAACACCAUAAAUUUCCCUCUACAUUGUAAGAUCUUGUAUCAAGGCAACCAAAAAAAAUACCAAGUCAAAUACUAAAUUAAGCAAAUUUGAAUGGAUCAAAUUGAAAAAAAUAAAAAUAAAUUGAGGGAUACAAGAAAAGGGAUGAACCUUCCCUUAUCCAUACAUUUUGUCCUUAAUUUUUAGGUUGUUCAAAUUUGGUCUCCAUUUUUGUAAACCAAGUGUCAAAUGAGCAAUGAUUUUUUUUAUUCACACCGUGAGAUCCCCUAGCCAAUGUAGACAAAGUAUAUCACAAAGUUUGAUCCCAAAAAUAAUAAAAUUGAAAAAAGAAUUAAAGAACAAAAAAAAAAAACUAAAGGACUAAAAGAAAAAAAACUAUAAGACUAAGAAAAAAAAAACUCUAUUAUAAUUCAUAGUGUUUUCUCUAUAAAAUUGAAAUAAUACUAUUUUAUCCUUAAACAUGACUAUUACAAUGACACGAAUGCAUGCCACUUUGAUAUUAUUUACCCCGCAACUUGAGUCAAAAUCCAUUUCUUGCUGCUUUGCCUUGUCUUCAAGGGAAGUACUGACGGUGAGAGGAUAAGUCAUUUGUGUGUGUGAGCCUUGAGGAUAAGUCAUUUGCCUUGUCUUCAAGGAAAGUACUGCUAACAAUUAAGCUUGUGUGCCUCAGCAUUACACAAAUUCAUUUGAAAACUGUCCCCAUAAUCAACUGCCAUGAUUAAGGAGAAAUCUGGGUUUUUUGCCAAAUGCAUGAUCCACAUAGUGCCGAAUAGCAUCAUAUAAUAUGAAUGAAUAAAGAAAACAACACAGGAAAUGUCCAACAAACUGACUCAACAUUCACAAUGCCAAACAAAAGGCCACGGAAUUGAAUUAAAUUUGCACUCCUACAAGUUAGAAAAUUCACGAUGCCAAGAGGAGGUAAGUGAUCUCGUGAACCUAAUAUCUCCGAGUGGAGUUAUUACAAGAACAGUCUCCUGUCCUCAAAUUAAGAUAUUCGUUAAGAAUUAUUGAUUUCACAUGGCCGAUUACAAAGAUACUGCUAAAUAUCACUAAAAAUAUAUAUAUGUUUCUAGAAAUUUAUUUUUCAUGAAAACUACUUCUCAAGAAAAAAAUAUUUUCUAGAAAACAAACAAGAUUUGCCUAGUAAACUAACAAGUUCCAAUUCUACUUCAAUGAUAUAUUUGGUGAGAUGGAAAAUUAGAAGAUCUUUGAAAUGGAAAAGAGAAAGAGCUCAUCUUAAAAUGCCUAAAUACCCUGUAUAUUUGUGUUGUUUAUGAUGUGAUAAUGAUAUUUUCCAUCACAAACAAAACCAAAAAAACUAAAAAAAUAUCUAGUUUUAUUAUUGCAAAAUUUACUUAGCAAUUAUAAGAGCCCGACAAUGAUAAUGAUGUUCAGGAGAUUUUUUUACUAUAUAAAGAGAUUUUUUUUUAGUUUGAGACAUAUUUUCAUCUUCUGUAUUUUUUCAAUUUAUACUUAGAUUAGUACACAUUAGAUUUAUGGAAUUGUAGGCAGUAUCGAUUCUUUUUUUUUUUUUGUGAAAAUAUAAUAUUAAGGUGUCAUAAGCGUGUUCUAAAAAAGGAAAAAUCCACAAUUAGGUCAAAUAAAUUACUUUUUAUUUUAAUUAUAUGAUAAAAAAUAAUAAUAGGUAGUGACACUAAAUAAACUAAAUAAACAAAUUGAUUAUGAUAACUUGAAAAAAAAAACUAUAUUUUCUUAAAUAAUAUAACUCAAUUCUCAGCCCAACAAAAUAUAAAAUAAUAAAAUUGAAUUAAAAAUGUAAAAAUAAACCAACCUUGAGUUAGCAUUAAUCAAUUGAAUUACCAAAAAAACUAUAAAGUCAAAUACUAAAUUAAGCAAAUUUGAAUAGAUUAAAUUAAAAAAUAAAUAAAUUAUGAGAUAAAAGAAAACGGAUGAACCAUACAUUUUAGUCCCUAAUUUUUAGAUUGUUUAAAUUGGUCUCCAUAGCUUUAAUUGCUUUCAAUCAAUAAAACUUUAUUUAAUUUCGGUAAACCAAGCGUCAUCUAAGCAAUGAUUUUCUUUAUUAAUAACCUGAGAUCCCCUAGCCAAGACAGACAAAUAUACCACAAAGUUUAAUCCCAAAAAUAAUAAAAUUAAAAAAAGAAUUAAAGAACCAAAAAAAAAACUGAAGGACUAAGAAAAAAACUCUGUUACAAUUCGUAGUGUUUUCACUAUAGUCUAUAGGUGAACAUGACUUUUGCCGGUAAGCCCACCAAGCCCCUGUUCAAAAAACUACAGAGCAUCUCCUUAAUCAUGUCUGGAUCAGACAUGGCCAACAACCUGGGCUCGACUCCCAACCGGUGGAGAAAUGUCUUCCUGCUCUUCCUUGACCAUUGAUAGACGUUGGCUUGGACAAAUUGAUAUUAGGCUGAUAUCCUUGGACCUUCCGAAGAUUGGAUUGUAGGCAAAGCCAGUAUCUGUGCCUUUUUUAAAUGGUUUUGGAUUCUCCAUGGAACCCUUAAAACUGAGUGUAGGAAUUUCAAAAUGCAGAGUCUAAAGAAGAUCACAAAGAGAAGAAAAAAGCAUGGUGAAAGAAGGAUCGUGCAGUGGGCUUGAAUUGUCAGGAGAUUGUUUUUACCAUGAUUUAAGUAAUGUGCAGCUGCAAUGGUUGGUGAAUUAUGAGGGGUGGUUGAAAAUUAUAUGAUGCUUUGUCUCCUUAAAGAGAUAUUGGGGAUUAUCUGGUGAUAACCUGUUAAAACCAUUGGCACCCUGUAUGGAUUAUGAUGCUCAAAAAGGGUUAAUGUCGUAUAAGAAGAAAUACUACUGUGUGGAAUCUGAUCAAGCAACUUGACACAGCCGUUGAAAGUAUUCAAAGUUUGCUAAGACUCUAAAUUUAAACGAAUUGAUAAUAAUAACGUAGAACACUUAAAGAAAAAUUGUUUACGGGGAAUUACACAGAUACAAUAAUGAAGUUCUAAGAGGGUUUUGAUUACAAUUUCAGAACAGAAGGACUAAUUAGACAUGAAUUCUGUCAUGGAAAAACAUGAGAUUUCACCAGGAAAAAAGAAACCUUUCCAUUCGAAGAUUGAGAAACUUUCCAAGAUUUUAUGCAAAUUGAUAGGAAAUUAUCUACCUUCGUCUGAAGCAAUCGUUGUAUCGAUGUUUAUUUCUUGUUUACUUGAACAAGAAGCUGUGCCAGAAAGGCCUUGUUAUAAUUCACAGUUGUUGAAUUUAUUUCAUUAUAAGGCCUUCCAUUUGUAGUUGUGUUCCCAAGAGGUCUGCUUGGUUUCCUGCUGGAAUUCAUGAGCAAGUUAGAAACAAGCCAGAGCCUUUCAUCGGAUCUUACAAAACUUCCUGAAACUCCACUUUUCCAGUACGGAAUCGAUCCGUUCCUAAUGAUGAUGUACAGUUUUUUUCUUUCAUGCAGCUGAAAUUUGAAGUCUCCUGGUGCUGGGUCAAUGGGACUCUUCCAAGAAGUCAACAUAAAGUUCUUGUCUAUCUUCAUUCCAGGAAGAAAUGUGUCAGUCGGACAAUCAAAGCUUUGCCACAAUAUCGCUGAACCAUUUGCAGCUUCUUGGAUCAAGACUAAGUUCCCGGAAUCCAUGAGCUUCAAAGAAAAUGAAGAUGAUGUUGAUUCUAUCCUUGCGGACCAGUAAGAUGUUCUAUUUCCAUCCAUCACAUGGAGGUUUCCAUCUUGUCCGAGGGAAAAAACUCCCCUGGAAUUAUCAAGUGGAUUUUCACGGUUAGCAACCCACACAAAAGUUUGAGGGCUGUUGUAAUACCAGAUGCCUAGGUAUUUCUUGCCAUCAUUUCUCCCAUAUGGAGUGAAGAAUCCAAGUUCAAAUCUUUCUCCAGAAGAAACAAGAGUAUCUCCCAUUUCAUCCCUUAGUGGAUUAGUGGGCAAUGUCCUGUUAUCCCUGGCCGAGCACAUCCAAGAACUAAGAAAAAGAAAGAGUGUGAAUGAUGAGAAGAUGCUAGACACCAUGUUGGUAGCAGAAAUCGUGAUAUGGCCUGUUUGAAUUCUCCUUCUUUCUUUCACAUCCAUCAUCAGAGAAUGUUACUGCCCAACCUUGUACCAGCAGCAUUGUUACAUGAACAAGAAGCUGUGCCAAAAAGGCCUCUCUCUUGUUCACUUGAAGCAAAAGCUGUGCCAGAAAGGCCUCUUCGUAUAAAAAAGGCUGGGUUCUUAGGAACCGGCAAGUUUGCAGUUUCACUGCUAAGCAUCACAACAACAUUGGACAUGGUCGGACGGUCGGAUGGAUCAUCUUGUACGCAUAAGAGUGCAGCAUUUACACACCUCAGAAACUCAUUGGUGUUGCAAAUCUCACGUAAUGUCUCGUCCAUUAAAUCCAAUGCCUUGUCUUCUCUCCAUAAUCUCCAAGCCUGGAAUUUUGAAGUUUAAGUCAGCAUAGCUUAUCAAACGACAAAACAUUAUAUUAGCACGGUUGAACUUACAUAAGCUAGAAGGCUUUGGGCUUCAUCAGAAUUAAAAUAUCCCGUGUUCCUUUUCCCGCUGAGAAUCUCAAGUACAACGACGCCGAAACUAAAAACAUCAGAUUUGACAGAGAAUAGGCCAUCUAAUGCGUACUCUGGCGACAUGUAGCCACUGCAUUACAACAAUUUUCACAAGAAUCAGUAACUCAGCUGGAAACAGACAUUUAAUUCAGCAUUAAAAAUGACAUGAUUGUAGGAUUGGAGGCUGCAAAAAGAGAGUGUUUGCAUAUGAACAGCUAGUUUCAUGAUGCACAGUGUCAAUGCCAGGUCUGAACCAAUAUGGCUGAAAUGCAAAUGUAAUGUUAGUACAAGCUGAUAUCUAGCCGAGAACAUCAAUGCUAGUAAACUGGAGGGACCACAGAAACCACCUAGUUCUAUUAUUAGGCUGCAGAUUUUGGCGUGUCUGAGAAAAAGAGGGAUAGAAUUCAGUUAUCUGAAAAGUUAAGAUUACCAGAUGAAGUCUUGGUCUUCCAUUUUUGUCUCUUUCACCUUUUAUUAUUGGUCCAUAAAACCGGUAUGUAGUUUCGUUUGUUUUUAUUCUUGUCAUAAAUAAUAAUCUAGGUUCCUUUAAUGAAAAGUCAUUUUCUGAAAAAUAUUUUCUAAAUUUUUUCAUGUUUAUUAUUAAAAAAGUUGAUCAAUAAAAAAAAUUUUAAUUAAUAAAAAAUUAAAUUUGAUUUUUAGUAUUUUAGGUGGAAUACACUUUUUAGAAGCUACAAAAUAUUCAAAAAUAUCAUAAUAUAUAUAUAUUAUAUUAAAUUUGAUCAUCAAUUUAGUUCUUUGGAAUUUAAUUUGAUUUUUAUAUCAACUUUGAACUUAUUUUUCUUAUUGUCAUCUGUUUUUCUCUUAUCUUUUUUUUUGAAUUGAAAUUUUUUUUAUCCAUUAAAUUUGAUCAUCGUUCUUUUGAUUUCUAUUUAUUUUAUUUGAAAUAAUAUUUGACAUUAUAUUUUUUUUUAAUUUCAUCAUCUAUCAACUUUUUAUUUUUCGGAUUUAGUUUUUAUUAUUUUAAUUAUUAUUUAUUUUAUUUAAAAUAAUUUAUAAAAUUUAAAUAUUUUUUUUAAUUUCAUCAUCUUUCAACAUUUUUAUCUCCGUUAGAUUUGGUUCAUAUUCUUUUAAUAAACUUGAAAAAAAUUAAACAUUAAUAAAUUAUUUUUCAGUUUAUUUUUUAUAGUAUAGUCAAAUACUAGAAAGUAUUUUCUAAAUUAUUUUUUAUAACACUGCUAAAUAUUAGAAAAACUUAUAUUUUCUACAAAACAAACUAACAAGAUUUUUCUAGUAAAAUAACAAGUUCCAAUUCUACUUCAACGAUAAUUUGGUGAGAUGGAAAAUUAGAUCUUUAAAAUGGAAAAGAGAAAGAGCUCAUCUUAAAAUGCCUAAAUAGAUGUAUAUUUGUGUUGUUUAUGAUGUGAUAAUGCUCCAUCACAAACAAACAAACAAAAAAACUAAAAAUAUAUCUAGUUGAAUUAUUGCAAAAUUUACUUAGCAAUUAUAAGAGCCCAACAAUGAUAAUGAUGUUCAGGAGAUUUUUUGACUAUUAUAAGCCCUCAAUAUCAUAUUUUCGUCUUCUGUAUUUUUUCAAUUUGUACUCAGAUUAGUACACACUAGAUGUAUGGAAUUGUAGGCAGGAUCCAUUUUGUUUUAUUUUUUUUUGUAAAAAUAUGAUAUUGAGAUGUCAUAUGCGUGUUCUGAAGAAGGAAAAAAAAAUCUACAACGGGGUCAAAUAAACUAGUUUUUAUUUUAAUUAUAUAAUAAAAAAAUAAUAAUAGGCAAUGACACUAAAUAAACUAAAUAAAAAAAAUUGAUUAUGAUAACUUUUUUAAAAAAUUAUUUUUCAAAAAAAAAAAAUAUAACUCAAUUUUCAACAAAUUAAAUAUAGAAUAAUAAAUUUGAAUUAAAAAAAUAAAAAUAAACUAACUCGAAUCACUUCGAGUUAACAUAAUCAAUUGAAUUACAAAAAACAAAAACUACCAAGUCAAAUACUAAAUUAAACAAAUUUGAAUUGGUUAAAUUGAAAAAAUAAAUAAAUUGUGGGAUAAAAUAAAAGGAAUGAACUCUCCCUUGUCCAUACUUUUGUCCAUAAUGUUUACAUUGUUCAAAUUCAAUCUUUAUAGCUUUAAUUUAAAUCAAUAAAACUUUAUUUGAUUUCUGUAAAUCAAGUGUCAACCGAGCAACGAAUUUUUUUUUAUUGAUACGGUGAGAUCCCCUAGCCAAGACAAACAAAGUAUACCACAAAGUUUAAUCCCAAAAAUAAUAAAAUUAAAAACAAAAUUAAAGAAUAAUAAUAAAAAAAAAAAAAAAAACCUGAAGGACUAAGAAAAAAAACUCUAUUACAAUUCGUAGUGUUUUCUCUAUAGGUGAACAUUACUUUUGCCGGUAAGCCCACCAAGCCCCUGUUCAAAAAACUACAGAGCAUCUCCUUAAUCAUGUCUGGAUCAGACAUGGCCAACAACCUGGGCUCGACUCCAAACCGGUGGAGAAAUGUCUUCCUGCUCUUCCUUGACCAUUGAUAGGCGUCGGCUUGGACAAAUUGAUAUUAGGCUGAUAUCCUUGGACCUUCCGAAGAUUGGAUUGUAGGCAAGGCCAGUAUCUGUGCCUUUUUUAAAUGGUUUUGGAUUCUCCAUGGAACCCUUAAAACUGAGUGUAGGAAUUUCAAAAUGCAGAGUCUAAAGAAGAUCACAAAGAGAAGAAAAAAGCAUGGUGAAAGAAGGAUCGUGCAGUUGGCUUGAUUUGUGAGACGAGAUUGUUUUUACCAUCAUUAAAGUAAUGUGCAGCUGCAAUGGUUGGUGAAUUAUGAGGGGUGGUUGAAAAUUAUAUGAUGCUUUGUCUCCUUAAAGAGCUAUUGGGGAUUAUCUGGUGAUAAACUGUUAAAACCAUGGGCACCCUGUAUGGAUUAUGAUGCUCAAAAAGGGUUAAUGUCGCCUAUGAAGAAAUACUACUGUGUGGAAUCUGAUCAAGCGACUUGACACAGCCGUUGAAAGUUUUCAAAGUUUGCUAAGACUCUAAAUUUAAACGAAUUGAUAAUAACAACGUAGAACACUUGAAAGAAAAAUUGUUUACGGGGAAAUUACACAGAUACAAUAAUGAAGUUCUGAGAGGGUUUUGAUUACAAUUUCAUAACAGAACGACUAAUUAGACUUGAAUUCUGUCUUGGAAAAACAUGAGAUUUCACCAGGAAAAAAAAACCUUCCCAUUCAAAGAUUGAGAAACUUUCCAAGAUUUUAUGCAAAUUGAUAGGAAAUUAUCUACCUUCGUCUGAAGCAAUCGUUGUAUCGAUGUUUAUUUCUUGUUUACUUGAAGAUGAAGCUGUGCUAAACAGGCCUGUUCCUUGUUUACUUGAACCAGAAGCUAUGCCAGAAAGGCCUCUUCGUAUAAAAAAGGCUGGGUUCUUAGGAACCGGCAAGUUUGCAGUUUCACUGCUAAGCAUCACAACAACAUUCGACAUGGUCGGACGGUCGGAUGGAUCAUCUUGUACGCAUAAGAGUGCAGCAUUUACACACCUCAGAAACUCAUUGGUGUUGCAAAUCUCACGUAAUGUCUCGUCCAUUAAAUCCAAUGCCUUGUCUUCUCUCCAUAAUCUCCA
rnacentral:lncRNA from 1 species